rnacentral:piRNA from 1 species
UGAGAGUGGUUGCUUUCUAAAUGAUGGAC